AUAUAAGCAUAUUUUAAUAUAUUUUACUGAUCAAGACAACAAUGGUAGCGCAAAGUAUUUACAUUACUUUAGCCUAAGGCUAAAAAUCCUGUAUAAGGGUGGUCUAAUUCAGGGGUUUUCAAUCUUUUAGAUGCAGUAGAACCCCAAAUACAAUCAUCCUCAGGAGCAGUGUAUAUUUUCAUUUAUGAAGACUCAAUUUAUACUCACUUAUAUAGGUAUAUUAUGCAAUAUACCAGUAUAAAAUAUUAUUUGGAACAUAUUCGAGGUUUUUAGUGCUCUUUUUAAAACACCCGCCACCCAGGCCAGAGACACCGGUUUGAAUCCCGCUUUGAGCUGAUCGAGUAGAACCGGAGGGGUAACAUUGGUGCAGUGACCCAGAUGGGAAUUUAGAGAGGUGAGUGAAACUGAUGCCAGAUAGCAAGAUCUGUGUGAAUAAACCUUACUCCCCUGGCCUCAAGAGGUGCGCUAGAGACAGACGCUAGAGACUGUGGUCUUUAGUGUCCUUGUUUGCUCGCCCACCUCCCAUGCCAGAGAUCACAGUUCGAAUCCUGCUUGGAGCGGGUUGAGUAGAACAUGAGGGGUUACACUAAUACAUAUGCACAUUCUAAAGUAAACAAACUAUCAAAAAGCCAACUAGCUUUUUUUAACUGAAGCAGGACUACUUUCCAUUACUACAACUGCCUUAUUAUGUUAUCCCGUCAAAGAACAUUCCUCAAAGUUUACCUUUCAGAUGAUCGUUCACUUGGCAGUUCAAGAGCCAUGUCCCUAUUGUCGUAGGCACCAUCUCUGCGGUGGCAAAAGUAGCAGAAAACAGACUCAGGACAUCCACGCGGUGCCCGCGGUCUAGGAGUGUGUGUCCGUGGAAAUAAGCAGAGUGAACGUCGAUCUCGUUGCCCAUGCCAAAGAGAUGUAAAGCAACUCUGCUGUUUUGGCAAAACUCAAUGCCUGGAUCCACACCAUCUGGAUCAGAGCAGAAGGUCUGGAUGUUCUCUUUCAGGUACCAGCUGAUGUUCUCAUCCACUACACUAAACAUAAGGAUUAGAUCCUGUUCUACAUCAGCACGUUGCACUUGAUGGUGGUCUGAAGUGGACACAGCAUGCAGGGUUCCUGAGGCCGGCAUUUUGAUUUGGGAAUCAAAGGAUAAGGUGAGAAGGGCUCCAAUAAGCCCGGAGGAAAUGUCUUGUGAGGCGCUGACAUGGGAGUGAUAGGCCCACGUCAGGCAGUUGGCA